GCCAGGUGUGGUGGUGGGCGCCUGUAAUCCCAGCUACUUGGGAGGCUGAGGCAGGAGAAUUGCUUGAACCCAGGAGGCGGAGGUUGCAGUGAGCUGAGAUGGCGCCACUGUACUCCAGCCUGGGCAACAAAGUGAGACUCUGCCUCAA
rnacentral:SRP_RNA from 1 species